rnacentral:rRNA from 1 species
CCCUUAGAUGUUCUGGGCCGCACGCGCGCUACACUGACGAUGGCAACGAGUUUUUCCUUCGCCGAAAGGUGUGGGUAAUCUUUUGAAACAUCGUCGUGCUGGGGAUAGAUCAUUGCAAUUUUUGAUCUUGAACGAGGAAUUCCUAGUAAGCGCGAGUCAACAGCUCGCGUUGAUUACGUCCCUGCCCUUUGUACACACCGCCCGUCGCUACUACCGAUUGAAUGGUUUAGUGAGGACUCCUGAUUGGCGCCGCCGCCCCGGCAACGGAGCAGCGGACUGCCGAAAAGUUGUUCAAACUUGAUCAUUUAGAGGAAGUAAAAGUCGUAACA